rnacentral:snRNA from 1 species
UAAAAGGGUAUUUGCUCUAUAGCACUCCGAGUUCUCCGGGGCUUGGUGCGGAAUCGAAAUCAAGAGAUUCCGGGUACAAAAUAUUUGGCAACGGAGGCAGCCGAGUGUUAUUUGCACGGGCGCCUCU